GCAGCGACGCCGCGUGAGGGAUGACGGCCUUCGGGUUGUAAACCUCUUUCAGCAGGGAAGAAGCCACAAGUGACGGUACCUGCAGAAGAAGCGCCGGCUAACUACGUGCCAGCAGCCGCGGUAAUACGUAGGGCGCAAGCGUUGUCCGGAAUUAUUGGGCGUAAAGAGCUCGUAGGCGGUUUGUCGCGUCUGCUGUGAAAGCCCGGGGCUCAACCCCGGGUCUGCAGUGGGUACGGGCAGACUAGAGUGCAGUAGGGGAGACUGGAAUUCCUGGUGUAGCGGUGAAAUGCGCAGAUAUCAGGAGGAACACCGAUGGCGAAGGCAGGUCUCUGGGCUGUUACUGACGCUGAGGAGCGAAAGCAUGGGGAGCGAACAGGAUUAGAUACCCUGGUAGUCCAUGCCGUAAACGUUGGGCACUAGGUGUGGGGGACAUUCCACGUUCUCCGCGCCGUAGCUAACGCAUUAAGUGCCCCGCCUGGGGAGUACGGCCGCAAGGCUAAAACU
rnacentral:rRNA from 1 species